GACGAACGCUGGCGGCGUGCCUAAUACAUGCAAGUCGAACGCACUCUCGUUUAGAUUGAAGGAGCUUGCUCCUGAUUGAUAAACAUUUGAGUGAGUGGCGGACGGGUGAGUAACACGUGGGUAACCUGCCCUAAAGUGGGGGAUAACAUUUGGAAACAGAUGCUAAUACCGCAUAAAACCUAAACACCGCAUGGUGUAGGGUUGAAAGAUGGUUUCGGCUAUCACUUUAGGAUGGACCCGCGGUGCAUUAGUUAGUUGGUGAGGUAAAGGCUCACCAAGACCGUGAUGCAUAGCCGACCUGAGAGGGUAAUCGGCCACACUGGGACUGAGACACGGCCCAGACUCCUACGGGAGGCAGCAGUAGGGAAUCUUCCACAAUGGACGAAAGUCUGAUGGAGCAACGCCGCGUGAGUGAAGAAGGUUUUCGGAUCGUAAAACUCUGUUGUUGGAGAAGAAUGUAUCUGAUAGUAACUGACCAGGUAGUGACGGUAUCCAACCAGAAAA
rnacentral:rRNA from 1 species